rnacentral:rRNA from 1 species
UACGUAGGCAGCGAGCGUUGUUCGGAGUUACUGGGCGUAAAGAGUGCGUAGGCGGUUUUCUAAGUUUGGUGUGAAAUCUCCCGGCUUAACUGGGAGGGUGCGCCGAAAACUGGAAGGCUUGAGUAUGGGAGAGGUAAGCGGAAUUCCUGGUGUAGCGGUGAAAUGCGUAGAUAUCUGGAGGAACACCGGUGGCGAAGGCGGCAUCCUGGACCAUGACUGACGCUGAGGAGCGAAAGCCAGGGGAGCAAACGGG